ACAUCUUCCAUAAACUUCACAAACCCUAAUUUCUUCACCAUGAACAAUGAAUUUGUGUGUGCAUGUAGGUCUACAACAACCAUACACACCUCAAGGAGUGUAAAAAUCCAAGGAGGCGAUUCCAUUGUUAUGCAAGAGAGGGAACUAACUGUGGAUUUGUAAGUUGAGCGGAACCUCCACUCUGUGUACGAGCAACUGAAAUUAUACCCGGAUUACUAAGAUCCAUCAACAAUCAUGAAGAAAAGGGACAUCUAAGUGAAAAGGUUGAAGAUUGUGUUAGGGCUUAGUUAGCUUUUUUUUUUUUUUUUUAAUGUAUGUUUUGAUGGCAUGAAAGUGGUUGCCAUUUUAUCCUAAUCCCUUUUUGGCAAAAAUAUUGUAAUGGUCAAUCUGGAAGUAUUUUGUACUACAUAAUAAGCAUAACGAUAAUGACCUAUUUUAAUUUA